AAAAUCUGUUCCUGGGUUCCAGUCCUCUUCCUCUUUGUUCUCAGAGUUUGUUGGAGAACUCACCUCAAUGGCCUCCAUGAAUUUUCUCAUGUUCCUCUGGCUGCUCCCCCCUGGAUUUGCUAUCGGGACCCCUUCCCAAUCCUCCUGCAAAACUUACCUACGUAUCCACCCUCCAUCACUUCACCAUAAUCUCCUGGAAGAAAGAACAGGAAAUGAUUAUCAACCUGCCGAUCACAGCCUCUUUGGGUAUACUCAUCACCUCCCUGGAAACUCCACCAUCCCAUCAACAGGCCUUCCUGGAUGGUCCCCCUGAACCUAGAAGAAUCAUUUAUUAAUUUGCUUGUAUGAAAUAGCUGUUCAAACCUUUCAUUGUUUUCCAUAGUUGUUGCCAGCAUGACAGUCUG